UCUCUCUCUCUCUCUCUCACACACACACAUACUCCCCCACACACCAUUCUAUCAGUUCUGUUCCUUAGAGAACCGUAACUAACACAGAGAGAUGUGACUUGUUGCAAAAAUAUUUUGUAUCUCUUAUGGCAUUUUCAAGACUUGAUUCUCUCUCUCUCAGAGUUUCCAGAACAAAGAGGAAGUAUUGUAUCUUUUUGGAGAAUACCUUUAAAAAUAUGUAUAUGGGUAUUCUGCCUGCAAGUACGUCUGUGUAUUAUUUGCCUGUGCUUGGUGUCCAGGGAGGCCAGAAGAGGGUGUUAAAUCCCACUGGGACUCAAAUUAUAGAAGCUUGUAAGCUGCCAUGUGGGUGAUGGGAAUGGAACCUGGGUCCUCUGAAAGAACAGCCAGUGCUCUAAACCUCAGAGCCAUCGCUGCUCCAGCCUGCAGAGUACCUAUUCAGUAUUUUUUUCAGAUCACAUUUGUGUGUGUGUGUGUGUGUGUGUGUGUGUGCCACCCCCUUUUCAGAGGAAAACUUGCCAGAGUCAGUUUUCUCCUUCUUCUGUGUGAAUCCCAGGGAUUGAAUUCAGGUUGCUAGUCUUGGUGGCAAAUGCCUUACCCAUUGGAACCUCUCAAGGCCUUAUUUUACUUAUGUUUUUGUUAAAUUAUUUGUCAGUAAAUUGUGGAGCUCAUAAUACUAUCAGAAAUAUUUCCCAAGAACAUUAAAUAUGUGAGCCUUCAAAUCUAGACAAUUUUAUACCGAUGUAAGGGUAUUAUUAUGUAUGUAAUCCAUAUUCAAACUUGGCCAAUGACCCAAAUCUGUUCUUCUAGUCACUGUUUCUGUUUAUCCAUUCUGGGGAUCCCAUAUUGCAUUUGGGUGUCAUGUUCCUUCACUCCUUUUUGGUCGGCACCCAAUUCUAGAUCUUUCUUUAUAUUUCAUGACUGAUGUUUUUAAAGGCAUAGAUGCCUUAUUUGGUAAAAUAUUCCCCAAUUUAAGUUUAUCUGAUUAUUUCCUUACAAUUUACUUUCAGUUACACAUUUUCCCAGGAAUGCCACUAUGUGUUUUCUGGUGCCACGUCACAGGGGGUGUGCAAUGUCAAUUUGAACAUUUCACAGACAUCAAAUGUUCAGCAAAGUAUAAUGACACAUAUGAAGAUACCAUGAUAAAAAUCAUUACUUUGUGUGCUGACCCAAAAAAUUAAUUUAACAAUUUGUUUAAUUGUUUUACUUUUUAUAGUUCAGUGAUGGCUCUGGAGUGUUUCUUAGAGAAGCCUUGGAAGCUGUAUCUUCUGAAACAACGGUCACGGCCCUGCCUCUGUUUCUCAGAAAGCAAUUACUGAUUCCUCUUUCCAGUCCUUAUCACGAAAGGAGAGUGCGGAUGUGCUUGAGGGUUUAAAUAUCUCGGGGGCUUCUCUGUGAGGCCUUGCAAUCAGGAGGGUUCAAUUAUGCUGGGAGUCUGCGGGCACUAAUUAAUCAUCCUUCCUCAACUACAGCCUCUCGCCAUCACAGAACCAGAGAGCACUGCAGAAUGCCUUUACAGCCGGUGAUGCCAGAGGGUGUGGCCGGGAACUCUCCCCGCCCUUCCAGGGCUGCCUUUGCCAUUCUCAGCCCUCACUGGAAAGGUUCCCAUCAGGCCUGCCCGAGGAAGGCCCAGUUGUGUGUUUACUGACUGUGGGAGGCGAUCAUCCGUGUGGCCGCUUACGCGCAGCUCUGACCAGACAGGCUGAGUGCACACGAGAGGGCCCAGGGUGAAGCUGGCUUCUGCUUCCCAGAGUGGCCCUGCAUUCUGAGUCAUGUGUCCUAAGCCAGCCUGCUCAUCCAGUGUUACUAGCCCAUGGAAAGGAGCCAAUGAGAAGAGAGAAAGCACAGGCUCUAACACUCUGCCCUAGAGGUUGAGAGUAAGGACUUGAAGCCACUCUUGCUAUUCAGCUUUCGUGUUUGCUUUCUGUGUUGAGCCAAGAAGGAGUGAAGAUGGGAAGCCAGCUUAAAGUUUGAUGCUAGAGCUGCCAUACCGUGGCUGGAGAUCUACAGCUGGAGAGUAGGAAGUGAAGGAAAGAAAGGAGACACUGCUCAGCAUAUUAAUGGGACACGUGACUUGCCGAGAGCAGCAGCUGGAAACACAGGAGCAGAAACACGGGUUCCUCCCCAGGUUCAACUGGUACCUCUGAACUUCACGUUCCUCCCUGCAGGCUGGAUCAGCCCCUGGGCAUUAAACUCUCCUCCCCAUGACAAUGACACCCACAGUUACACCUCUUGUUCUGGCAUCUCCGCCUGGAUAGCCCUCUCUCCAUCAUCAAAAUGGCCUCAGCUCCACUCCCCACCCCACCGCGUCCCUUGCCCCACGCCACUUCACCUUCUCUGUGCCAGACACACAAGCUGCUCAAGCCCCAGGUCCACUGUCAUCCUCCACUCCUUUCUUAAAAACAAUUUUGAGAGUUUAGGAAUGAAAAACUAAAACACACAGAACACCCUGUUAUGUGUACAGGUGUUUUGCUUGCGUGUAUGUCGGCCUGCCGUGUGUAUUGCCCAUGGAGGCCAGAAGAGGGCGCCAAGUGACAUGGAGCUGGAGUUAUGGAGGAUUAGCUACCAUGUAGAUCCUGAGAGUUGAACCUGGGUCUCUGAAGGAGCAGCCAAUGCUCUUAACUUCUGAACCAUCCCUCCAGGCCCCUGCAUUCCUCCUUAUCUUACCCCUCACAUCACUUUCACUGCAAGUCCCAGUCCAGCCCUGGUCGUUCUCUUUUUACUACUGUCUUCUCUCUUUUGGACUGCUGCUGGAAGUCCCUGUGGUCAUUCCCACUUCCCCUGUCUCCCAACAGUCUCACAGAUCAGCCCAUGGGAGGCUUUCAACCAUGUGUCAAUAGUGAUUCCCCUGCUGGAACCCCUUUCACUCCUUCCCAUCGCCUGAGCUUGAAGUCUGAAUUCCUUCCCAGGAAGGGAAGUUGGGCUGCUGGCUUCUCUAGCCUAUCACCUAGGAACUUCCAACUUCUCUUCUUUUGCUUAUUUUCUUUCUGGGGCAAUGCACUGCUUUCCCAACUUGUCUCUGGCAUUUGCUGUUUCCCAUGUCUAGAAUGUUCCACUCCACAGCCUUCCUGAGCCCUGUUGUCCGUCAGUGGCUCGAAGAGCUGCUCCUAACCGGGCUGUACCGUGCCUUCUCACGCAACAAUUCUCUCCUUUUGCAACUCUGUGAGCGAUACCCGGGGUCAUUUUGCUCUUGUGCUGUUCCUUGCGUUUCUAAAGUCCCGGCAGACAGCUUCCCACUUAACCUUGAGCGUGGAAGGGAAGUGAUAAAGUGAACACUUUCUAAGGAUUUUACGUGGGUGAAGAGACACUGACUGCAUGCACCUCCAUGAACACACACUUCAGGAGAGACACACGCAGAGGUGCCCUAUCAUUAUUCAUAGAAUAAAUGAUUGAUCAAA